rnacentral:rRNA from 1 species
AGAGUUUGAUCCUGGCUCAGAACGAACGCUGGCGGUAUGCCUAACACAUGCAAGUCGAACGCGAACGGAAUCUUCGGAUUCCAAGUAGAGUGGCGCACGGGUGAGUAACACGUGGAUAAUCUGCCCUAAGGUCAGGGAUAACACUUCGAAAGGGGUGCUAAUACCGGAUAAGCUCACGCCUUCCUCGGAAGAAGUGAGAAAAGAUUUAUUGCCUUAGGAUGAGUCCGCGGUCCAUUGGCUAGUUGGUGGGGUAAUGGCCUACCAAGGCUGCGAUGGAUAGCUGGUCUGAGAGGAUGAUCAGCCACACUGGAACUGAGACACGGUCCAGACUCCUACGGGAGGCAGCAGUGGGGAAUUUUGCGCAAUGGGGGAAACCCUGACGCAGCAAUACCGCGUGAAGGAUGAAGGCCCUUGGGUCGUAAACUUCUGUCAGAGGGGAAGAAAUACUCGCAAGAGUGCUGACGGUACCCUCAAAGGAAGCACCGGCUAACUCCGUGCCAGCAGCCGCGGUAAUACGGAGGGUGCAAGCGUUGUUCGGAAUUAUUGGGCGUAAAGAGCAUGUAGGCGGUCUGUUAAGUCUGGUGUGAAAGCCCGGGGCUCAACCCCGGAAGUGCAUUGGAUACUGGCAGACUUGAGUAUGGGAGAGGGAAGUGGA